CCUACGGGAGGCAGCAGUGGGGAAUAUUGGACAAUGGGCGCAAGCCUGAUCCAGCAAUGCCGCGUGUGUGAAGAAGGCCUUCGGGUUGUAAAGCACUUUUGUUGGGGAAGAAACCGGCCGGGUUAAUACCCUGGUUGAAUGACGGUACCCAAAGAAUAAGCACCGGCUAACUUCGUGCCAGCAGCCGCGGUAAU
rnacentral:rRNA from 1 species